AUUGAACGCUGGCGGCAUGCCUUACACAUGCAAGUCGAACGGUAACAGGUUAAGCUGACGAGUGGCGAACGGGUGGGUAAUAUAUCGGAACGUGCCCAGUCGUGGGGGAUAACGUAGCGAAAGCUACGCUAAUACCGCAUACGAUCUACGGAUGAAAGCGGGGGAUCGCAAGACCUCGCGCGAUUGGAGCGGCCGAUAUCAGAUUAGGUUGUUGGUGAGGUAAAAGCUCACCAAGCCUGCGAUCUGUAGCUGGUCUGAGAGGACGACCAGCCACACUGGAACUGAGACACGGUCCAGACUCCUACGGGAGGCAGCAGUGGGGAAUUUUGGACAAUGGACGCAAGUCUGAUCCAGCAAUGCCGCGUGCAGGACGAAGGCCUUCGGGUUGUAAACUGCUUUUGUACGGAACGAAACGGUGAGCUCUAAUACAGUUUGCUAAUGACGGUGCCGUAAGAAUAAGCACCGGCUAACUACGUGCCAGCCGCCGCAGUAA
rnacentral:rRNA from 1 species